rnacentral:tRNA from 1 species
CCCCAGCUGGGUCAGUUGGUAGAGCAUGUGACUCUUGAUCUCAGGAUUGUGAGUUCAAGCCCCAUGUUGGGCG